CUGUAGACAACAAUAUGUCUGAGUGUUUUAAUGCAUGGAUCUUGGCUGCUAGACACAAGACCAUCGUUACUAUGCUUGAAGAAAUAAGAGUGAAGAUGAUGACAAGAAUAGCCAAAUUAAAGGAGUUCCCAAUUACUUGGAAGUGUAAUUUCUCUCCAAUGGCUCUAAAGGUUUUAGAGGAGAACAUUAGUAGGUCUAUGGACUGUACCAUUGAGUUUAAUGGAGCUGCUGAAUUUGAAAUGAAAGAGGCUUUGUCAACACAAAGUGGAUAUUGUUAGGAGAACUUAUAGUUGUAGGUUGUGGCAGUUAAGGGGCAUACCAUAUGCAUAUGUUGUGGUUGUAUUAUACUUUAAAAAGUUUUCUCUUUAUGACUAUAUAGACAGCUGCUACAGUAAGGAAACUUACUUGAGGAUUUAUGCCAAUGUUAUUGAAUCACUCACAAACAUGGAGAUGUGGCCAGUUUCUACAAACCCCACUAUUGAGCUACCAUAAAUCACAAACAUGUCUGGUAGGCCACCUAAGGCUAGAAGGAAAGAAGUUGGAGAAACUAAGAAAUUUGGGAAGCUUCCUAGGACUGGACUUGCAAUGACAUGCAUUAUAUGCCAUAUCAGAGGCCAUAACAAGAAAUGGUGUCCUCAAAGAGAAGGUGUUGAAUCAUCAACAAGACAAAGUGCAUCAUCACCUACUACAUCAGUAAGGGCAGAACCAACAGGUUCACGCAGGGGAAGAGGUAAACCAAAGAAAACUCCAUUAGCACCAUCAGAAGGUGAGCCUCCACUAAAAAUGGGAAGAGGAAGACAAAAAAAACAUCAUCAGUAGCACCUAGUGCACCUCUCCUACCUACUGCACCUACUGAUUUUCCUGCAUCCUCUUCUGCUCCUCCUACUUAUCAUGCAUCAUCUUCAAUAGUUAGUACUACUAAAAGAGAAAGAGGUAGGGGCAGGGGAAACACAUCUCUAGAGAAAAGACUAAGAGUCAUGGGAAUGGGUGUGUUCCAAGCUGCAAAUGGCUUCAAAGUCAUGAAUCCUGACAUGCCAAGUAGUAAGAUCUACUCUACUGGACAAG